AGCAUAGAUAGCCCCCAAAAUGGUUCCUGCAGGGCACUACGACCUCAGCCAAUAUUUAACUUCCUUGUGACGGCCAACUGUGAAAAGCAUCUGGAGACAAAAUCUACUCUUGGUAUGGAAUGGUUAAAAGAUGUCCGUGAGAACCACUCAGACAAGCCAGGAAAUGUGCCCCAAGCUGAUUACUCUUCCCAGGUGCCGCAAGUGACAGCUGAGAUCUCAGCUGGCGAAACCAAUCCCACCAGCUAUCCUUCUGUACUGCCCUUCACACGGGUUGUCUUAGGCAGGCUCAAAUGAUGAGCCCAAAUCCAGAAAAUCCGUUUGAAUUCCUUUUCUUUAAAACUUUAAAAGGUUUGGCUUCACGGUCUGCUGAGGGGUAGUUAAUCAGAACUCUGAGAACUGCUCCCUGGCUCAGAUGUGUUGCACAGAUGUGGAAGAAUCACCGGCUAGACGGUAUUUAUAACCAAUCCUGAGACCCAUAAAUCACAGUGCAAUAAAUCCUGAGUUAAGAGGACUACAGAAACUUCUUGGAGCUGAACAACCAAAUAAUCAUUAUGGUUAUUAAUACCAAUCUUCUAUAAAGUGAUAUUUUUCACUAGGAGAUCUGAAAGUGCUUGACAAAGUGUGUUAUUACAGGCGUGGUCAGCAUAUCUUCAUCUGAACUGUUUUCCACUGGGACACAGCAUCUCAGUAAGCAUACAAUGUCCCAUUAUGUGUUGCCCAGUGCUGCUAACACAUGUUGAAACGCCGUGCAAAAAUAGAACGAUUCAAAGACAUCUCUGUUUUUCAUCCAAGCCAUAAAUUGUGUUUGAAAUGGAGUUCUCAGGAAUAGCAUUUUGGGGAGCGGGGAGGAAUUUAUAGUUCAUGAGCAGAUCUUGCAAAUAGAUGGGAGAUGUUCCAAACCAGAAGAAAACACAUCUUCAAAUUUUCGCCACAGGAUUAUCAGUCAGCCAUUGCAGCAGUUCUUGGUGAAACAGGGGCAGGAAAACAUCCAUGUGCUGCAUGCCUUUGCCCUCCAAGCUCCCCGUCCUGCCAAGCAGGUGCCCCGCUGCGCAUCUGUGGCUGAAGGUACCUGGUGGAGAAGGCGCUGAGACACAGCCCCAACAUGGGUGAGUGACAUCCCACAUACACACAUGGGGGACGCGUUCAGCUCACAGAAGAGAAGGCUGCAGGGAGCUCACACCAGCACCUAGCAGGUCAUCAGCAAGCCCACAGGUUUUAUCUUUGUCCCAGUCUCUCCUCCAGCCCACUGGAGGGGCAGCGAGUUGAUCACUCUGUGAUGCUGGGCUCCCC
ensembl:lncRNA